CAACCCUUAAGCCUAGCUUAGUGUUGGGAGCUUACAGUUAUGUAACUCCCUAAAGUCAGUGGCAGAGCUAGAUUGUCUCUCAGCGUAGUAAUUUUUUCUCGCUUUUGUAGAUGGUCUUGUGCUAGCCAUAAGCCUAUUUUUCUAAU
rnacentral:misc_RNA from 1 species